rnacentral:rRNA from 1 species
GACGAACGCUGGCGGCGUGCCUAACACAUGCAAGUCGAACGGAGAUACGAUUUCGGUUGUAUCUUAGUGGCGAACGGGUGAGUAACGCGUGAGCAACCUGACUUUUAGAGGGGGGAUAACACCUGGAAACAAGUGCUAAUACCGCAUAAGACCACGACCCGACAUCGGGAUGAGGUCAAAGGAGCAAUCCGCUAAGAGAGGGGCUCGCGUCCCAUUAGAUAGAUGGCGGGGUAACGGCCCACCAUGUCAGCGAUGGGUAGCCGAGCUGAGAGGCUGAUCGGCCACACUGGAACUGAGACACGGUCCAGACUCCUACGGGAGGCAGCAGUGGGGAAUAUUGGGCAAUGGGCGCAAGCCUGACCCAGCAACGCCGCGUGAGGGAAGAAGGCUUUCGGGUUGUAAACCUCUGUCCUUGGUAGACGAAAAAAUGACGGUAGCCAAGGAGGAAGCCCCGGCUAACCUACGUG